rnacentral:rRNA from 1 species
AGCGGCCUUCUGGACUGACACUGACACUGAGGUGCGAAAGCGUGGGUAGCAAACAGGAUUAGAUACCCUGGUAGUCCACGCCGUAAACGAUGUCGACUAGCCGUUGGGUCCCUUGAGGACUUUGUGGCGCAGUUAACGCGAUAAGUCGACCGCCUGGGGAGUACGGCCGCAAGGUUAAAACUCAAAUGAAUUGACGGGGGCCCGCACAAGCGGUGGAGCA